rnacentral:rRNA from 1 species
ACUCCUACGGGAGGCAGCAGUGGGGAAUAUUGGACAAUGGGCGCAAGCCUGAUCCAGCCAUGCCGCGUGUGUGAAGAAGGCCCUCGGGUUGUAAAGCACUUUCAGCGAGGAAGAACGCCUGGCGGUUAAUACCCGCCAGGAAAGACAUCACUCGCAGAAGAAGCACCGGCUAACUCCGUGCCAGCAGCCGCGGUAAUACGGAGGGUGCAAGCGUUAAUCGGAAUUACUGGGCGUAAAGCGCGCGUAGGUGGCUUGAUAAGCCGGUUGUGAAAGCCCCGGGCUCAACCUGGGAACGGCAUCCGGAACUGUCAGGCUAGAGUGCAGGAGAGGAAGGUAGAAUUCCCGGUGUAGCGGUGAAAUGCGUAGAGAUCGGGAGGAAUACCAGUGGCGAAGGCGGCCUUCUGGACUGACACUGACACUGAGGUGCGAAAGCGUGGGUAGCAAACAGGAUUAGAAACCCCAGUAGUCC